AAAUAAUUCUAAAUUAUGUAUAAAUGACCUGUUGGAGGUUGCAUGUCUUUUAUUACAUUUUUAGUUUUUUCAUAAAGCUGUGUUCUUUCAUCAAAAAAACACCAAACUCCUCCAAACUAUACGUAAUGCCCAUUGCGGUCCCGUCAUCCAUAAGCAAUAUGUUCUAUAUGAUGCAUCAUGGGCAUUCAUAGUGAAGUAGUGAAGGAUUCAUUUUUUGCCAAAUGCAAUAGCAAUAGCUUGUGUAUUUGACAAAUGAAGGUUUACCUGUAUUCGCUGAAUAGAAUUGAGUGUUACAUCUGUAUAUGACAUGCAACAUGCCAUAAGACGCCAGCAUCUUUCUAAACCCCACAUCUGUAUAAGUAAAUAAAAAGCCUGGAUUAUUUAAUUCAGCUGCUGCAAAGCAAUUUUUGUCUACUCACAGUUAUUGAUUGAAUUCAGAGAAAUGUUCUUGCAAAUAAGAGAGGUAAAGCACUAUUCUAUCAGGAAUGUUCAUCAUCAUUUCUUUCAGUUUUCUUAUAACAAGAAAGGGAAACAUUUCAAUAAUAAUAGUCAAUAAUAGCUUUUUAUUUAAUGGUUUAACUAGUGCACUCCUCUUCAGACUUUAAUGGGCUCUAUGUGACCCAUCAGCUAAAACUAGUUUGACGAUGCCACGCAAUUGUAAAUCUGGGUUUUGGAAGUUAAAAAUAAUAAUUUACAAAUAACAAUGGCAAAGAAAAAAAUAUAUCAAAAAGCAGCACUUUUAUUUAUCAGGUGGAGAAAUUAAGGGGUGACUUCAUCUCCUGUAUCAGUUUUAUAUUCACGCACCCAUGCAGACACACACACACACACACAUACACCUACACACAUGUCCUGGUCUCCUCCAUUGGUCCUUCCCAGCCCCCUUUCACUAAUCGGCUCUCGUUUUUCCACUCUUCCUCCUCCCACCCUCUUCUCUCCCUCCUCCCCGGCACUCAUGUCCGAAGGUGAUCAAAAUCCUCGUAUGGAGAAAUCCUGGUGAUCCAGCAGGGCCGGGCAGGAAAGGUCACGGAGAGAGUCUGUAAAAUGGAUGAAGCCUAAUGAUUAGCUCAACCUUUACCUAAUCAAUAAUCAUUUAUCCAACAAUAUUGCCGGCGGCCACAGUCCCAUUUGCCAUUAACCUCGGCCGUGAGGAAAGAGGCCGUAUUGUUUCCUGUGGCAGCUUUACGGCGCUCAGAUGAGUGGUAGGGGCCCGGGAUGGAGGAGUCUUGAGGUUGGAUCUCGAUGGCUCGGAUCCUAUUAAGGCACCGGAGGUAUUUUAGCGCCACAGUGUCGCAUAAUUACCAUCUUGAAUGACUGACUGAGACGCUGGCUGAGAUGAUGGCUGUCUACGCGGCAGAAGAGGACUGUAUUUUUAUGGAAGGACAUAACAAUGAAAGUCGUCUUACGCACAUCGUAUUAAGAUCUGCAUAUUGAAAUUGAGUUAAAAAUACAUAGGAGUGUAACUUUGAACUGGAAUCUUUUUUACCUCCAAGGAGCUUCAUUUUGCUUUAGUUUUUAGAAAGACAAUCUGACAACAAUAAUAUGUUUGAUUUAGCUUUUAUUGCUUUUUACAUCUGCAGCCUCUUCUGCAACAUCUCUCAGACGCACACACACACACACACACACACACACACACACAUGCAGCGGCAGCAGAGCCGCCUGUCUCCUCUGUGUCUCUCCAUGAUGCCAUCUUCAUCAUAACCUCUCCCUCUUUAUUGCCUUUAAUGACUUCCCCUCUCCUUUCAUUAAUUCUUUAUCGAUUCCUCCUGACGUCGCCUGAAUUAUUUUCCAAUUACAGCAAAUAAAAGAAAGGGGAAAGCCACUGCAAAUACUUGCCUGCAUAUGUGUGUGUCUGUGUGGGAGGUGUGUGUUCGUGUGCACGGUUUUGUACCUACAACAACAUUUAACUCACUGCACACAGACAGUGUAUACCUGCACACAUCCACAAGCGGUUUAGUUUCUUUCUUUAUCAUAUAAAUACACACUUUAACACACUCUUACACGCACACACAGGCAGAAGAGGCGGAAUGUGAAUGUGACAGCAGAGAGAGAGUGGUAAAAGGUCAUAGGAAGCUAAUGGCUCCAGCUAUCUUACAUGCAAUAAGUUCAGACACUUUGGACAGGUGUGUGUGUGUGUGUGUGUGUGUGUGUCACAGAGGACUGGUGGGGCCGGGGGUUCGUGGAUGUGAGAAGAAAACAAUACACACCAAUGGUAGAAUUUACAAGGUCCAACACACACACACAAACACACUGGUACAGUGUUUUUGCCACAAUAGAAACUAUACGGGCUCUUAAAAUGCUAGUUUUGAAAGCAUGAGCAUCAGCUAGAUACCAGAUGUCAGAUAGAUACCAGAAGUCGCUGGCAGAAUUGGCCUCAGAGGUGUGUUAGAUGUCUGUGGGUAAAACUCCAGGGUCCUUAAUUACAACAAUUAUUCCCGUUUGUAUCCACGUGUAUCAACUCUUAUGUUGUCUUAUGAUGCUCAAUGACAAAACAAAGACAGUGACCCUACGCAGGUUUUUUGGGUGUAAUGGAGAUGGAAUUUUUUUUUUUCCUGCAGGGAAAUCUUAUAAUGCGCUUGUACAGAGCUAACCCCCCCCCCCACUCCUGUUGUCCAAUCAAAUCAUAUUACUCUUAGGCAACGUGUUAGAGGAAGUGAUUAGUUAAUGAUGUAAAACAUGGUUCAGAUGAGCCCGAUGCGAAUACACAAAGCACAGACGUGCACAAGGAGAGGUCUUCUUUUUCUAUCAGUCACAUUUUCGUCGCAUGAUUGAGAAAUGAGCAGCAAGCGGGGAAAUAAAAUCAACUCCUAUUAUGCACCUAAACCUCAGAAGUGUUUUGUUCCCUUUGCUGUGGUAAACCAGAGCCACGUGUUACCUGCUUUGAUAUGUACAGACCUCUCCCUCCGAAGGCUGUCUGUACGUUUGCAUUUAUGCUAUGUACAACAACGUGCCCCCCCUCCCACAACCCCCCGCCUCCCGGGCCUCCACACACAUGCACGUUUAAAUGCGUCCCCAGAGUGUCCUGACCUCUCCCAUCCUUCCUUUGAGAGUGUGUGUGAUAUACUGGUCUCUAAUUGUCAGGUCUGGCUCCCACAUUCCUCGCCUCGAACAGCCUACCAAUACUGUGUCACUUUAACAACCGCGAAUUAUCACUGAGAUGGAGAUCUGGGCUUCACGGCGGCUCUAAUACAGAUACAUUUCCUUCCAUAAAUUGGCCCCUCCACCCAUCGGCACUGCUACUCAUACACGCACACGACUUACUACCUGUUCGCAAACCCUCCACCCCAACAUUCACCGCUCUUUGAGUGACGUUUUUACUACGACUUUAUCGCGUCUGCCCUGGAGAUGGUGAGAGUCAUCACUUCGCCAAAUGUGAGCUAAAAGUAUCCGGCUAAAAGGGGAAGAGAUGAAUCUUGCCGGUUGGGCGUCAUUUGACCGGGGUUAUUGAUUCCCACAGAGCCCAGUGGGAUCCGAGCGGCUUUUCCCAUAAAGUCGGCGGCCGUGGUGCCAGCAGCCGGGGCGACAAGGACGGGGGUUCAAACUGGAUGAUAAUAUGCAUGUGUCCAUGUCUGCUCGCUGCUUUUAAUAACAUCUGUUCUUGCUUACUCUUUGCUCCAGCUACACGCUGCUUCAUCUUUCACAGACGCAUCAGAUCCUUUUUGUUUUCCUUUUUCAAGUUAGUCCCUAAGAGGAUACGUAUGUUUCUGCUCUUUUUCCUUUUGUGUCCGUUGGUACAAUAAGGUUUGAAUGCAUUCAGAGGCAUCUCAUUUUUCUCUGUCAAACUUAUAACGAGGCAGCAGAACACAUCAACAGAUAUCCCUGAAUUUCCCUUUAAAAACAAUGAUCAAUGGGGAAAAAAUAGCCAUUGCCAAAUUGUACCAUUAGAUGCCCCAACCUGCCAUGUGGUUCAUUUUUAUAUCAGUGCUAAACAAAAAUAAUUCCAACCACCUAAUCGGAUGCAGACUAAACACUUCAGCAUGGCCGUGCGAAGCAGAGCAGUCAUCUUCUCCGGCGGACGGGAUGCCACGUAAGUGUUUCAGUGUGUCCUCAUAGAAGUCCAGGCCAACUCUGCUACAGGCUCAGCCAGGACCGGGGGUUCGCAGUAAUGAUAGGCAGAUUGAAAAAAAGAGACCCCUGAUUGAUUUCCUACAUCUUGAUUUGAUAUCCUGAAUUAAUUAUUUCAACUUGAAUAAUAUAUAAGGGAAAAAUAAAUGUAGAACACUCAAGGGAAACAAAGCGGCGGCUUCACUACCGCUGCUUCUGCCGACGUUGUUCUGUGCUGCAUAGACCCUUUAUCUCUUGGUCCAUCUCAUCCCCCGUUGCUCUGUAAGGAAGUGUGUGUGGUUACAGUCAGCUGUGGUUCAUGUGUGUGUUGCAGUGUGUUUUGUGUCUGUGUGUGUGGCAGGGGAAGAAAAUCGUUUGUGUCAGUCUGUUUAGAAUAAAGACUGUUCCGCACAAAUGUUAUGAAACUGUAAUACCUGUGAUAAUUAACAUAACUGUGGGUCCAUUCAGGGGAAAAAAAGUAAAAAAUAGCAAAAACUUUUGUAUUAAAUGUUGUGACUUUGACAUACCAUUCUUCAUAUGGAAAUGAUAAAGAGUCACAAGCGAGUGACGUCUGAGAGGAGACAGUCUGCUCUGAACAACAAUGGUGGAUCUAAAAGAGGUUAACCUACAUGCUAUGGUAUCAUCAGACAUUCCAGAACUGGAAGGUGUUUCUUCAUUGAUAGAGGAACAGAUAAUAACAAGAAAAUCCUUCUCACUAUUGGAAGAAAAUAACAGGCUUUAGUUUCGGCAUGUUUGGCAGAUGGUCCAUACAAAUAACCUGCCAGUUAAAAAAAAAUAUUUUCCAAUGAAUCUUUUAAGAUGGUUUACAAACAAUUUGGUGCAUCAGGUCAUUAAAACACAAUUGAUCAUACUUAAAUAAUAAUUAAUUUGAGGACCCAUCGUAUGCCUAUUCAGUUGAUAUGGUUCCUUGGGGUGUUAAUGAAAUGUCUGUAAAAUAUUUUGGUCAAAAUACCACAAGGAUAAUUUAAAACAGCACCCUUUUUACACUGUCUAAAAAAGCCCUGCACAGAGUGACCUGUUUUGCGUGCCUGUUCCUUUAAUGCUAAUGUGCCAGCAUGUAAGAGAGACUCCCAUUUCAUUGUGAUGAGAGAAUGAUAAGGAAGCUCAUUCCCAGUCACUCAAGCAUGACGUUUCCGACAUACAAGAACCAUAACAAAUCACAGAAGUUGUUUUUUUGGGUCGGUAGGCAUGCAUUUUCAUUUUCAUAAUAUGUCCAUAAUAUAUGUGUUAUUUAAAAAACAAUCCAAUAACAAUGUGCAAUUAAAAGGUUUCUCUCACUGCGACAAACCCACCAAGAAGUGUUGCCCAAGUGCAGUUCCCACCAGCUCUACAAACCAUUUCAGUGUCUUUAAGCUCAUUGUUUGUUUUCUAAAGACAUAAUAUCAGCAUGGUUUCAUUCUAAUAGCUCAAAUGAAACCUUUAUUCACCGAUUGCCCAGUGAUUAUCAAUGGACAGACAACAUAAUUAAGAAUUAAUUAGCUAACAAAUUAGAUAUGACCUUCAGGACUUAGUAGCGACCAAAAUAAAGCAGAAAGAAGACCGGAAAUUGGACUUACAUUUUUGAGGCUCCUGCUGGGUAUAGAAAUAGUUUAUUAGAUGCAUAUAUGUUUUCUAUUUUUAAAAGUGGUAAAAAAUUUUCAACACACGCCGGCUUCACUAAAUAAUGACUUUUUGGCUGGACCAAUAACUGAUAAAAGAUGGAGAACUAUUACAUUUUAAAUCGUGCAGCUUUUCAAGCCUUUACAGCAGUGAUCCCUUAAAUAUUGUUUAACAGGAAAACAAGAUUGGAGGCCGCUGCUUUACAGCACUGGUUUAGAGGCCGAGGAAACUCCCACGUGGAUUGAAUGCAUUGUAAAUCCUCUCACAUGCUGCUAAUCAGCCAAUGAAAUCUGUGCAUUGCACUAAGCACUUCAGUUUGAGUCAGAUGAGAUAUGGUCACACAGGGGAGAAACGAGAUGACAGAUUAUAAUCUGAGAUAAAAAGUUAGUCAGACAGAAGUCAUUUCAACUGCCGUUUGCACAUAAAAGUGGAAACUAGACAGCAAAAACAAAGCUUUCAAUCAUUAAUGGAGAGACUCUUUCAUCUUCACUGUUACUCUUAUGUUCUGAGAAAAAGCAAAUAAUUUAUUACAUUUAUCCUAAAUGCUUAUACGGUAAGAUAAGAAACUAUAUCAUGUCAAACAAGUUGUUGUCAUGUUCUGGACAUUUUCUAUUACUGGAGCCCUUUGAACUUGAUUUGAAUUAAUCUGCUAUAAUUAGAAAUAGAAGGCGUUUUUAUUGUCAAGUAUUAUUUCACAUAUACAGUAAAUUGUUCUCUGCAUUUAACCCGUCCCACACAGUGUGAGCAGUGUGCUGCUGUGAAGGCACCCAGGGAGCAGCCGGGGUUCGAACUGCCAACCCUGCAGUUCCUGCCACACCCUCUCUACUCCAUGCGCCAUGGUCACCCACAAACUCAUGCACUUUAGAAAUAAUCAAGACUAUUGAUGAAGCAUUGUUACGAUCAUCACAAAAUCAAAUGUCCAACUAUUGGGUUUCAGGGGAGGUUUGUACAAGCUUAUUCUUUAAUUAAUCAACAGUUCUGUUGUUGAUAUCACAAGAAAGAUAGUUUCACCAAGCGAAAAAGUGUUUCAAGCCACAGUAUCAUCGGCGUAUAGCUCAUUUCACAGUAUCAGGAUCCAAACUCAGCUCAUUCCGUUGUGGCAUCAGAGGGAACAUUAAACACUCCCCCUGCUCAUCUCCUCCAGGCCAACAGAGAAAAGGGGAUAAGGAGAAGGUGAGAGAUGCCGAGGGAACUUGGGAAGCUAUCAGCAGGGUGCAAUUGGACAACCGUGCUCUGCCUUCCUUCACUGCCACCUAUUUUGUUACACCUCUUUCUCAGCCGACACCCAGAUUACCAUACAGGAAGAUGACUGCCAUGUAGUUGCUGAUUUACAGGGAGCGUGAGCCAACCAAUCUGAAAGUCAAGAUCAACAGUAAAAGGCGCCCUCUCUUACUUAGAAUCUGUUGUCUCAAUUCUCCUCCCUCCUCCCCUUCAUCCGUAUUUUUCUUCAUAUUUUAAUCUAAGCGAGAAAUGAAUAGGGAGGAAUUUAAUUCCAUCGCCUCCAGAAAGCUCCGAUAAGCGUUCAUUGUCGUUCCACUUUCCUUUUGUAACCUUCCGGCUUGAGGCCUGGGAUCGUGACAACUUUAUAUAUGAAUGGCCGCGCACAAAUUGCCACUGACGCCUUUAGAUGAGCUGCACUGUGAUCUUGGAAUAUGAAAACACCCCUGACAGAUUUUUCUUAUUGACACUCAAAGAUUAACCCCAUGUGCACUGGCAGCCCAUUCUCACUCAUCUCAUCUCACACAUUAAAAAGGACCACUGCUGCACGUACCUCCAUCUAAAGCAGACAUAAUUAACUCCAUGGGUAUUUUAGGAUAAUUGUUCUAACUUACGAAUAAUACUUUUUUUCCCCUUUCCUUCAGCGCAGCCUGUUUUAUGGCAAGGAUCAAUGAUGUCACAUAAAGCACGAGGCGCAGCUCUUAAUAAUCGGGACAAAUACACCAUUAACUUUUGAAUUAAUUUCCUGCAUCUGGAUGGGCUAUGGUAAACUGUUCCUCAUUACGGAAGCAGAUGCUUUAAAAGCCAGACUGGAUGGGAUCAAAGGCCUAUCCAGACUAACCUGCUUUAGCUCAUUUUCAUUAUCAUCCGCUGACUAAAACAUCUACUGCAUUAUUCACAUCAGUUUUAAAGCUUGGCCCUUUUUCUGCCUUUUUGAGCACUUUUUUUGUUUUCUUCAGAAGAUGUUAUAGAGGACAGAUAGCCUCUCGUCAUGUCAAUCAAAUCCUCCGCAUUUAUUAUGAUAACUCACCGAAUGCAAAACAAACAAUGGUAAACAAUGUUUCCUUUAGCAGCCAUAGAGUUAAGCUAUGCAGUGUGUGUGUGUGCGUUUUGUGUGAGAUAAUGUGUAUGUGCUGCUGGGCAAAGGCCGUAGUGCUGAUGGUAAUGUAUUUUUCUGCAAACAAGAAAGAUUGCUGAGUCCCUGCCUCCUGGAGAAAGGGGGCGGCGGGGUGCUGCAUGGCGAUGGCGGGGAUUCAGGUAUAUGGAUGGCCUAAGGAGGUUUCCAUCAUUCAUAAAGCACGGCCGCCGUACGCACCCUGACGCCGAAUUGAUCUUGCAAAAGAAGCAGGGUGGCAGAGCGACCACUUCAUUAGUCUCCCCGAGCUACAAAUCACCUGCUAGUGCUGCGGCACUCAAGAGGGGACCGGUGUUACCCGCGCCACAUUACUACAGCCUCAACAGUCUGAAGUGACCGCCUGUUCAUGCCGCCAUUAUGAGUGAGUUAUGGAGCGAUGCAAAAAAAUAUUCUCUACACAUCCGGUAUUACUGCGGGUCACAGUCGACAGUCCCACGAUGAAUGUGCCGAGCUUUAAGUGCGGCAUAAUCCACAGAGGGAAAAAGCCCGGCAGGCUGGAGGCUCGCUUUUGUUUGUGCACCUGCCUCCCCUGGUGAAAUCACCUUUUUCAAAGUGUGUUAAGGAAGUUGGUCCACUUGUUCGACAAAAACUAAUGAUGCACAGAAUAGCCUUUGAUUGUAGUCUUUAUUGUAUUUUGUGGUGCUUCAUUUAAAAAAACGAUACCAACGCUACAUAGAACACUGUAUUAAACCUAUGGGUUUCCCUGUGAAGAGUGUGAUUUGAUGAUAUUUUGUAGUGCGCUGCUCCAUAAUUUUGCAUAUCAAGGACAGGAAGUAGUGAACCAUUGGGGGAGUGGCUUUUUGCUUCAGUGUGGCUCGAUUGGCUCGUUUUAUUCAAUGGAAAGUGAUGAAAGUGGGAAUUAUGAUGCACAGGUUCUACAAGACGGUACACACGAUUUCUGAUCCUGUUGGCUUGAUCGUACUACUAACUGUUGUUCAGCUGGAAGUGUCCUACACAUUUCCAACGGAGAGCAGUCUCCAAGUCUUUAUUGUAAGAUGAUACUUUUGAGAUCUCCCACUCACUAUCUCACUCUCAAUUUUGUUCGAAAUAGUAUAAUAAAAUACAUUUUUACACUUUUAUGAACAAAAACAAAAAUUGUGUGUGUUGCGUUAUUUAAAAGCAGUAAACUAAAACUAAAACUGUGCAAUGCCAUUUGUUUGAGACAGUCGACACUACUGCCAUGUCCCAUAUAACAAGGAUUGCUCAUUCUUUGAUUUGUUGGGCUUAUUAAUAGGAAUUAAAGUUGUCCCUGAAGACCCCCAAAAGAGCCUUUUCUGGUCAUUAUUCCUCACAGGUGUUUCAAUCAUUCCAAUAUUCAGUUAAGAGGCUUACUUGUUGUUUCAUAGGUCAUGGGGUUGCAGCAUGUGCACUUGAAAUAAAUACAUUUUUUAUAAUUAAGUUGAAUGUUUGUUAUGUAUCACACACUAUCAGGUCACUCUGUAAGUCCAUUUGAAGAAGCCACAACGCAGCACACACAUUUCUACAUAUUCUUUUUCUAUUUUAGUUUUACGUAUGCAAAACAACAAACAUUCUAAUGGACAUCUAUGAUUAUAUUAUAUACAUACUAUAAUCAAGUUCAGUUUUUCCUAAUAAUGUUAUGAGGAGCAAAGGGUUAACAAUUAAGUUGAGUAUGGUUGUUUUUUACAGUUGUACAUCAGUAGUAUGUAGAAUAAAAUCCUCAAGGCUUUUACUGAUCAAGCCUUUAAUAUCAUAAAAACAUCCCAAGAGCUACACAUUUAAAGAAUAUUAUAGGAAAUAACCCUACGAAAUCGGAAUUUUGCUCCCCUCUUUGGAGUUGAAUAUUAGAAAACUACAUUAUUAACAUUACACUCAUUUCUUCAAUGCACCAUGCAUCAAUGCAUCACUUUUCAGAAAUUUUGAGAGGUGGCAGCGGUGGGUGAUCAAAUAAACUCGUGCCUUCAAUCAAGAGACAAAUGGCCUCGUGGUUCAGCAACAAUGUUGAGGUGACCCGUAAGCACAAUGAACAGCUACACAUUAUCCUCUGAGAACAACAGUGACAGAGGACUCAGAGGACUUAGAAGUAUUAUUUCAAGCUGAAUGAAAACAAGCACUUAAGCUUUUCAUGAGUAAAAGUCAUUACCUUGAUUAGCUAAUGAAUGUCAUAGGUGUUGCAUUAGUAUACAUAAUGGUGAAAACUUACCAGACACUUUUAAAACUGUCCUGACAGGAGCUUUAUUCAUUUCAAGGAUGUUGAAACCAAUGCCACAGCAAUACUCCCAGAGGUAUUUCAAAAACACAAUUUACUUAUAGAAAUAAUAAAGUAGAGAACCAUUGAUAGAAACUGAUCUAGAUAUUUAGAUGUGAUAUGUUGCUUGCUGGCUCUGUAUAUUUCGCCCGUCCCUCGUUAUCACUUUCUUGUCAUUGUGUAUUUAUUCUUAUUCUUAGUCUGUGCAUCUUUCUUUCAGUUUCUUGAACACUGUCUAUAUUCUAUAUACUCUAUGGUGGACUGUUUACUUAUGUUCCGAUAACUGAUGUUAAGUAAACUCUUUUACUUUAAUCUCGUUUACUUUAGUCACCUUGUCGACACAAGGUCAUGCUAUUGAGUAUUAUUUGUGUUGGUAGAUUGAGACACGCUGAUUUAUGUAUUUAUUUUGGUUAAAGGAAAACGUGUGUACAUGUGUCAUCAUUACCCUUACAAUAUGAGCAAAUGCCUUCACGGAAAAAUCCUCGGCAGGGAGCAGGAGCCCUACUGACCCAUAAAGGUCUCUGCACGUUGCUGACUAGGAACGCCUGCAAAUCUUUGAACUAAGACAGAACUGCGAUCCUAAACAUCCCCACGAUUGUCAAUAACCUUUUCCCUUCCAUAAACCGUAGCAAUAACUGUGUCGUAUAGUCAUGACAUUUGCCAGCCCAAUAUCCCCGAGAGUUAUUGGUAAUUUCACACCGCCUGAUCUACAUCCUGUGACAACAUGGAAAAAAGUAAGGAGGUAUUGGAUAGGAAUGUAGCGCUUUUUAUGCUAGACGCUGCAUGAUGGUCAUAUGCUCACAAUCUUUGUACAGUUUUCCUGGUUUCCCCGGCCCAAGAUUUUAUUGUCAUUCAGAUAGACUUUUACUUUAGCACUACAAUUUAUUUAGAUUUUUUAAUCAAUCCUCCAUAUGAAGCAGCUCAACAUUACAGUGGCCUCAUCCGUACAGGACAGCAGCAGGCCCGUUAUACCUCUUUGAAUUACACAACUAUCACGCCACGUAAUUAGUCAGAGUAAUGAUGCCAAGCGGUCGCAGGGAAGAUGGAGCACUCCGUCAGGCCUUGGUUUGUGAUCUCUGAGGAGGCAACUUCACAGAGGGGCAGGGCAGAGUGAAAACAAAGUGCGAAGGCCUUCCAUGCACACAAAUCUUGUCAAUGGUAAUUGAUUGUUGUUGGUCACCCGCACAGGACCUGGACAAAAUCAAGUGGCUUCUCCAUAAAACAAUGUCAAAUAUUGAUGAUAUUUCUCUUUGUGGCCUCUAGAAUGAAUAGCCUCAUCCUUCCUCUAGUUUUGAUGAAUGUGUGUUAUUGCCAUCGCCUCUUGUUGUCUUUCUGUUGUCAUUUUACCUGCCGCUCGCUUGGAAUGAAAAGGAGAUGUUUCCUGCAAUUUCCUUCUUACCACUCCUCUUAAAACUAACACCUGACAAAGUCUGAUUACAUACCUAACUUUACAUUUUUAUGAACUGAAUUCAAAUCCAUUUUAGUCUGUGAUUUAUUGAUCUGCUGUGUCUUUAAAAGGGUGAUAUCCCUUUUUUCUUUUAUCACAAACAAUACAGAAAAGAUGCUGUGCCAAUGUGCACAUGGUCUGCCAUGACAGGCAAAAGACAUUUGACUUGAAAAUACACAACGUGAAUUCAAGCUCCUCUGCCUGUUUUCUACAUUUCAUCCAUCAACAUCUCUAUCAAACAAACUAUUCUCCCCUUCUUCUUAUUGUCUGUUUAAACUUGCAUGCCCCCCCCAAAGCUUUCCACACUCUAUUCCCUUUACUGUGAGCGUGAGAGGUCUAAAAGCUCGUCAAGUCCAAUGUUUCACAUCAGAAACGGUUUGUGUGCGUGUCAGUACUGGGUCUCUGGGAGAGCCAAACAACAGAGACAGACAUAUAGAGCAAAUAGGGGGGCAAAACACUAUAUGGAGUUUGUGAUGAAUGUCGGAGGGGACAGUCUAUGUUUUCUGUGAUGAUGGGGGGUAGGAGGAUUUUGAAAGACAUACUGAAUAUGACACACACACACACACGUUCUGACAGUCCCUCGCUGACUUGUGCAGCUUAACAAAUGCAUCAGAAGAAUGUCCAUCAAUUAUUCAAUCCCCUGGUUUGGAAAAGUGCGUUUCUGUGUGUGUUUGUGCACAUAUUUUUAGAGGGGUGUGGGGGGGGGGGUUAAAAAAGUCCCCCAAGGUUAGGCCCAUUUUGAAAAAGGGGGACCAUGCUAAACGGCAGACAGCGGUGAUACAAGUACAGCACUGGUCCAAGGGAAAUGUAGCGAUUUGCACCAAGGAGGCAGCGCCUCUGCACUGAUACUGCACAUGAAACAUGAGAGACACAAGGUUAGUAUGCUUUCACGGCUAAUUGCUGUAUUGCCACCCCUGUGCUUACUAUCCUUACUUACUAGGUUAAAUUCUCAUCAGUCUCGGUGGUCCACAUUGUUCCUGGAGCAGGUCUGCACACACACUAACGGCACCCUCUCAAGGAAACACUGUCAUUUUUACGAUGGUCUACUGCUUCUCCAAGGUGGCUCACUUCGUGCUGCCCAGGCUCCCCUUAGCCAAGGAAACGGCUUACAUCAUGGUCAGCUAGGUGUUCCGCCGACAUGGGAUUCCUGUGGACAGACAUUGCGGCCCGCAGUUCGUAUCCCAGGUUCUGGAAAGCAUUUCGGUCGGGACCUUGGUGCAACUAUCCUGUCUUCCGGCUUCAACCCCCAACCUAAUGGACAGACAAAGACCCCACCAGGAGCUGGAAGACUCCACUGCUUGAGGAGAUAGCCAUAGCCUCAGUCCAUCUCUGCCGCUGUAGGGAGGUGUGGAAGGAGACACGGUCCGCCUCCGAUGCCGCCGCAUUUCUUCCCCCGCGUUGCCAGGUCGUUCAAAGGGUCGGACUCUCUACCACGGACAUCCCACUAAGGACCAUAUCCCAGUAGAUGUCGCCCCAAUUCAUUGGCUCCUUUGAGAUCCGUGCCAUUAUCAACACUUCUACGGUCCAUCUGUCACUCCCCUAGACCAUGAUGAUCCACCCGACAUUUCAUGUGUCACAAAUUUAACCAAUGUUCACCACUGCCCUGACCCCUGUAUGUGGGUACCAGUCUUACAAGACCAGUUACAGAUUUCUCAACUCUGAUACUUAUCUGUUCCUGCCAGUUUAAAGCCGUCCCGUGUCAUUCCACGGAGAUCAACAUUAAAUGUAAGCCUGC